GAAAAAGCAGGACAAUUUUUGCCAUCUCAAACGCGAUGAAGAGAGACUGUAAACUCUACAAAUUGCUUUGAUGUUCCGCCGUUGUCACAUUAUUUAUCCAGCAAUAUCCUCCAUUUUAAAAUAUCUCCAGCCCUCCCCCUUUUGUUGAAUUAAUAAUAAUUUAUAGCGAGAGAUUUCACUUGCAGCGUGAACCUAUCCUUCACUCUUCUUUUUCUUCCCGCGGUCACUUGUUAAAUAAUCUCUCUCUUUCUCUCUCCGUCUUAUUCUCUGUCUCUCAGUUUUGUUUGUUUCCCGCUCGCCUCAUGGGACACCCAGAGACAGACAGCCUUGCCAGAUUCAUUUUCUGAUCAAAGCUGUUUGAUUUGGUCAAUUUUGCCACAUUGGAGACGUUCUCUAUUACUGAGAUAAAUAGCCUCGGGCUAACUGUCAACGAAAACUUGUAAGCUAAUAAAUUAUUCCAAUUUCUUCCAGCUGGAUUUCUCUUGGGAGUCGGCCUCUAGGAAAUACACUUUUUGAUUAGUAAAUUUCUGCCCGUGUGUGUGUCUGUUUGGGUGUGCGAGCGUGCGCAUGUGUGUAUGUCUGGACAUUCGGAUGUGUCGUUUUUGAUUAGCGGGCAGGCUGCUGGAGUGGAAGGCGGCAGAGGGGGCUGUCAGUAGAAGGAGGCCUCUAAUGCAUUAUGCAUUGACAAGGCUUUGGAUCCUGCCACCUCCGCUGGCACGCCUGGGAGAGGAGGAGGCUGAGUCGGGCUCACCUGAGGGGCCUCUGCUCUGCUUCCCCCUCCUCGCUCCUCAGUCCUCUGCUCACACUCCUGGGGGAGAGGAAACUUUGACAGAAGCCAGCCCCCGCCGUCUUCGACACUGCUCCCCUCGGAAAACCCUCAGUUUUUGGACAACAGUGGAGCUCUACGGCACAGCUUCGGAUACACACACAAUACCUGUUAGAAGAAGCAAUUCGAUGUUGGUUUUCGGGAGAUUUGUUGACGAUGAGAAAAAUGUUGAAAGUCACCAGCUUUAACGUGAAGACUGAGGAAGAGAAAGAACAAUUGGAAACAGCUCUAAUGUCCAGGAAAAGUAAGCUAAAACGCACAAAAAAACCCAACAAAUAUCGGU
rnacentral:lncRNA from 1 species